UACCAGCUCUCCGAGUUGUAGGGAUGAUUAUUGGGCUUAAAGCGUCCGUAGCUGGCUUAGCAAGUCUCCUGUUAAAUUCAGCGACCUAAUCGUUGAGCCGCGGGAGAUACUACUAGGCUAGGAGGCGGGAGAGGUCGACGGUACUUUCGGGGUAGGGGUGAAAUCCUAUAAUCCCGGGAGGACCACCAGUGGCGAAGGCUGUCGACUAGAACGCGCUCGACGGUGAGGGACGAAAGCUGGGGGAGCGAACCGGAUUAGAUACCCGGGUAGUCUCAGCUGUAAACUAUGCGGGCUAGGUGUUGGGGUGGCUACGGGCCACUUCAGUGCCGCGGGAAAGCCAUUAAGCCCGCCGCCUGGGGAGUACGGCCGCAAGGCUGAAACUUAAAGGAAUUGGCGGGGAGCACCACAAGGCGUGAAGCUUGCGGUUC
rnacentral:rRNA from 1 species